rnacentral:lncRNA from 10 species
UUAAAAGUGUGUAGCGAUUCCCCCUUUGCUCUCUCUCCUGUCGUCAUGUGAAUAUGUGCUUGCUUCCCCUUCCCCUUCUGCCAUGAUUGUAAGUUUCCUGAAGCCUCCUCAGCUAUGCCUCCUGUACAACCUGCAGAACUAUGUUUAAUUUUCAUCUUCUCCCACCCUCGAAGGGGAGUUCUGUUUUGCCUGAUGAUUAUUUGAGCUUUUGUGAUGCAGAUUCAGAGGGAAAGAAGUGAGGCUGGAGUUGAAGAACAAGAGGGGUGGACUCCAUGUGAUGACAUAGAGAACUCAGCUCCUUCCGUGUGGUGGAUUUGAUAUCCUGCAGGGCCUCUGAGCCCUGCACUGAUCCUUUUGCAACCUGCCUUGAGAUGAAGAAGGAAAAGGAGCAUGGAGGAUCUGCAGGAGUUUAAUGGGUCAGGCUAGAGGUGGCGUACAUCACUUUUGCCCCCAUUCCAUUGCCCAGAACUCAGUCACAUGGUCCCCACCUAGCUGCAAGGCAAAUCAAGAAUGUAGUUCAUUGUGUUCCAGAGAUAGUCUCUGCUAUCAUUUCCUAUGCUAUGAAGUCUUGAUAAAACUGUUAACUCGAGGUACCUAUGUUCCCUUGGCCAAAUGGUAGACAUAGGGCCUUGGUAAGGCUAUUUGGAAGAUCUUUCUCAGGUAUUUGAAUCUUGAGUACAGUGACAGAAGAAAGGAAAGUAUUUGCAGUUGGCUCAUCUUGAGGGUAACACCCUGUAAAAUCCUUUAUGUGUUCCUAAAACCUACACCCUUAGUGCAGCCUCAUACUUAUCUUUCAUAAGGGCUAUUCAGCUUUUCCUUCAUGUCUGUGAACUACCCACAUCCUUCCAAAUAAUUCUUUUUUUUUUUGUAUGUUAUCCACAAUUAUUCUUUGUUGCCUGUAACCAAAGGAACCUAAUUAAUACUGAACUUACAGUGUUUUAAAAUUGUAUUCAGUUGUUAUUGAUAUGUGUUUCUCUGUUCACAACACUACUCUCAGAUGAUGGCUUUAUAAGAUUUACACAAAUAAUGUCAAGAUAAAUUGAUUUGUACAAAAAUCUUUACCCUAUUUCUGAUUAUUUUCUUAGGUCAAAUGCCUAGAUCAAAUGUAUGUUUAUUAAAAUAUAGUAAUACUAAUUAUGUACUUCAGUCAAUUAAAUAUUAUUAAUCUUUUCAUAUGAUACACAUUCCAUUUCAGCUUUAGAAAAUUGUGUUUUCAGCAUUAAUGUAAUAGCAAACAGAAGAAAGCAUACCUGAGCACUACACAACACAGUGCUCAUGUUAAAGUUAUAUCGAUGAACCUAACUGUGCCUUGAGGAAAUCUGUACAGAAAUUCUAGAUACAGUAUGAGCUUUCCUGGAGAGUGGUGCCCUCUGUUGCAAGAGAAAGGGAGGAAGGGAAGAGUGUAACUAGAUCAUUAGUGCAGGCUUCUGUGGCUUGUUUGGUUUCCAUUACAGUCAGUUCAGAUCUGGGAUUUAGCAGAGGCCAUUCCUUCCCCCUUCAGCGUUGUUUGUCUCUUUUCCUCUACGUAGUAACUUCUCAGCCUCCAUAAAGCACCAGGCCACAACAGAAUCAGUCCACAUUAGUCAGUCGGGUCUUUAUGAAAUUGCCCAUGAGGUCUUGUUGUUGCAUGUAGACAAAUUCAGAGAGAAUUUGGUUUGUCUUCUUGGCUUAAGAAAUAGGAAAUUUGGGGAUAUAGGGAUUCAUGAUUUUUAC